GUAAUUUGAUCCCACCCCUCUCUGUAAACAUUGACCCUAAUCUGUUAGGGUUUCAGAUCAUGCUUACUAUAGAAUUUUGUAUCUCCUGCUCUGUUAAUUUACCUUUAAUCACACAGCAGGGUCUAGAAGGCUAUUAACAGAGCUAGAGAUACAACAUUCUAAAUGAAAAAAUGAAACAGAAUGGGCAAUGAAGGAAGUUUAAACAUUAGAGCUCUCUUUACAUGAAUUGCUUAGGAAGGCUGUGCAAGGGCUGAAUAAACAAAGUGAUUUAACUCCUAAACAACAGGGAAUUGAGCAGUGAGACUGCAGGGGCAUGAUCU